rnacentral:rRNA from 1 species
UAGCGUAUCGUUUGACGUUAGCGACAGAAGAAAGCACCGGCUAACUCCGUGCCAGCAGCCGCGGUAAUACGGAGGGUGCGAGCGUUAAUCGGAAUUACUGGGCGUAAAGCGCAUGCAGGUGGUUUGUUAAGUCAGAUGUGAAAGACCCGGGGCUCAACCUCGGAAUAGCAUUUGAAACUAGGCAGACUAGAGUACUGUAGAGGGGGGUAGGAAUUUCAGGUGUAGCGGUGAAAUGCGUAGAGAUCUGAAGGAAUACCGGUGGCGAAGGCGGCCCCCUCGGACAGAUACUGACACUCAGAUGCGAAAGCGUGGGGAGCAAACAGGAUUAGAUACCCUGGUAG